rnacentral:lncRNA from 1 species
CUUCUCCUUGGUGCACAGGACCGAGAAAGAACACAAAAC